rnacentral:piRNA from 1 species
UAACGUUCCUGUUGGUGGCAGCGAGGAU